UGGGGAAUUUUGGACAAUGGGCGAAAGCCUGAUCCAGCAAUGCCGCGUGUGUGAAGAAGGCCUUCGGGUUGUAAAGCACUUUUGUCCGGAAAGAAAUCCUUGGCUCUAAUACAGUCGGGGGAUGGCGGUACCGGAAGAAUAAGCACCGGCUAACUACGUGCCAGCAGUCGCGGUAAUACGUAGGGUGCAAGCGUUAAUCGGAAUUACUGGGCGUAAAGCGUGCGCAGGCGGUUUGCUAAGACCGAUGUGAAAUCCCCGGGCUCAACCUGGGAACUGCAUUGGUGACUGGCAGGCUAGAGUAUGGCAGAGGGGGGUAGAAUUCCACGUGUAGCAGUGAAAUGCGUAGAGAUGUGGAGGAAUACCGAUGGCGAAGGCAGCCCCCUGGGCCAAUACUGACGCUCAUGCACGAAAGCGUGGGGAGCAAACAGGAUUAGAUACCCUGGUAGUCCACGCCCUAAACGAUGUCAACUAGUUGUUGGGGAUUCAUUUCCUUAGUAACGUAGCUAACGCGUGAAGUUGACCGCCUGGGGAGUACGGUCGCAAGAUUAAAACUCAAAUGAAUUGACGGGGUCAUAGCUG
rnacentral:rRNA from 1 species